AUCGGAGCUCUGACCCAAUGGAUCUUUGCCAUAUGUCUCAAAUUAGGACCAUCCAACCAGGGGGCUCUUCAACGCACCAUCAUUCUGAUCCGAUCAUGCAGAUCCAUCCAUAUGAAAUAGUGACAAACCAAUCGACGUGAGGUAGAUGGCAAGCUUUAACUAGGUGGACCAUAAUCAUCGAGUCUUAACCUUCGAGGCUGAAAUAAUGACUCACCUCAAGCCACCCACUCCUUAUAAAUGCGUCA
rnacentral:lncRNA from 1 species